rnacentral:rRNA from 1 species
CAGUCGCCACGGUAAUACGAAGGGGGCUAGCGUUGCUCGGAAUUACUGGGCGUAAAGGGAGCGUAGGCGGGUCGUUUAGUCAGAGGUGAAAUCCCGGGGCUCAACCUCGGAACUGCCUUUGAUACUGGCGACCUUGAGUAUGGGAGAGGUAAGUGGAACUCCGAGUGUAGAGGUGAAAUUCGUAGAUAUUCGGAAGAACACCAGUGGCGAAGGCGACUUACUGGCCCAUUACUGACGCUGAGGCUCGAAAGCGUGGGGAGCAAACAGGAUUAGAUACCCCCGUAGUCCCUGUCUCUUAUAC